GCAUAUGUAGCAUAAAACACAUUCUAAGCAUAUUUCCAUAAAGCCUUAUGGGAGGUACCGUCACAGAGUGCAUGUUGUAACCAUCAGCAUGAGUCAAGUUACUGUUGUAGUGGGGGAAUUUGCUAUGGGGAGGGUAUUUCUUAGGGUUAGUUGUAUGGGUUACUUGGGGUGAGGGUAUUGCUGUCGGGAAAGGUGUGUGGAAUGCGGGAUGAACAGGAUAGGAUAACUGGGGUGCUGGUGAAUGGGAGGUUGCUCUAGGUCAUCUGAGGCUGAUCAGAGUUUUGGCUGUAGAUGGAAUUUAUUAGGUGACGGGAAUUGAUUAGAGGGCUUCCUCAGGGAUAGGGCAGGGGAAGAGCAGUCGGGGGAAUUGAGCAGGGCAUGGAAGGAAGGAGGAGGUGGAGUUUCUGAAGAGUCAGUGAGAAGUGAAAGAGUUAAAAAAUAAACAACUCUGGCACUUCCCAGCCUAUAUAAUAGACACUCCUUUAUGAAAAGAAUUACUGUUAACUGCUGCCCAGAAACAAUAUCAGAGCAAAGCUUUUGAUCUACAGGUGUGUGGGUUAUGUCAAAAUCAAGAUGAAUUUUAAAGUUCACAUCACUGUGCUCUUUUUUUGCUUCUCUGCUUUUGCCAAGGAAGGCACAGGAAGAUAUAAAGGACUAAAUAGAACUGGACAAUUACCAAGCUACCCGGUUUGUGUUCAUUAUAUCCUCAAACCAAUGUGUAUUUUGUAUUAUCGCCCUGUCUGUGGCAGUGACGGGACAACCUACCGGAACAAGUGCGAGCUCUGCAGUUACUGCAGAGAACAUAACAAGAAUAUAAAGAUUGUAAAGGAAGGAGCAUGUUAAAGAUUGAGGAUAUCACCAUCUGUCUUGUCUUGCACGCCCUGGAAUCCUUAAGGCUUAUUAAUAUGUAAUCCUGCAGUGGUGCCAAGGGGCUGACUAGAUUUCCUCUUGAGGUUCCUACAUUCUCAUGACUAUGUUAAUAUUGUACUAAUGCUAUAAUUUUAGUUUGUUUAAAAAA